rnacentral:rRNA from 1 species
UACAGGGGGUGCAACCGUUGCUCGGAAUCAUUGGGCGUAAAGCGCCCGUAGGCGGUUCGUUAUGUCGGAUGUGAAAGCCCUUGGCUUAACCGAGGAAGUGCAUCCGAAACUGGCGAGCUAGAGUACGAAAGAGGAUCGCGGAAUUCCCGGUGUAGAGGUGAAAUUCGUAGAUAUCGGGAGGAACACCGGUGGCGAAGGCGGCGAUCUGGGUCGAUACUGACGCUGAGGUGCGAAAGCGUGGGGAGCAAACAGG